rnacentral:lncRNA from 1 species
GAGAUCUCCACUGGAAUUUGGCCAUGGAAACAUGAGCUUGAAAGGUUGAGAUGAGUUAGAUUUUGGAGUUUAUCAAACCCAUAGGAAAACAGAGUGGUAUUAAAGUUGUUUCCAGCAAGAUUCAGGUGUUGAAGAUGAUGGAGAUCGAAUAUGGAGUGGAAGCUGCCUGAAAGGUUUUUGUAACUAAGAUCAAUGCCAACGACAUGACCAUAAGCAUCACAAGUGACUCCUUCCCAAGAACAACAAUCAGUGUUGACAUCCCAGAGGUCAAAAUUGGAAGAGAAAGUAAAAUUAGGGGCACAGUAAAGAUGACGCUGCAAUUGCAGCAGAGGAGCUCUCUGGUCAUCAAGGCAUUGCUGAGGGAGAUGAGUUUGAGGAGGUGAAAAAGACAAGACAAGAGAAAGGAAGCAUGAGAAGAGGAAGGGUGAAAUAAGGAAAUGAAGAGUGUUCAUGUUGGUUGGGUGUGAAGAAGGAUUGUGCUUGGCAUACAACUUAUUUAUACACAAAUGUGUAGUUUUCAUGUUUGGCAUAUAACUUAUUUAUUAUUAGUAUUAUUAUUAUUAUCCCAUGCUUGCAAAGGUUGACCAAAAAGACUUAACUAAAGUGGUGGAACAUUAUUUUGAUGCAGUAUUGAUUGGGCAAAAAGACUUCGAAAUUGCAUGCUAUGCCAAACAUGAAAACUACACAUUUGUGUAUAAAUAUUAGACAUAUUAGAGGGAUUGAAACUGAAAUUUAACAUUUUAUUGUAAAUUUUUUUUUUAAAAAAAAGAUAAAGGAAAGGAAAGGAAAUAAAUUAUAGAUUAAAUCUCAAAUUUAGGCAUAUUAAAGAAACUAAAUUUUAAAUUUUUUUGUAAAAUGUAAAAUUAAAAAAGAAAAGGAAAAAUGAUUGGGUAUGCGACAUGUAAAAAGAAAGAAGGUCGAAACCAAUUUUUAUAUAUAAGUAUAUAGAUUAUAUAUAAUUAUUCUUACAUAAUUUAAUUUUUUUAAUAAAAAUUACUAUUAAAAUCUUUUAAUUAAAUUUUGGUAUAACACCCAAAAGAAUUAAUUUAUAUACCAAACUAAUUUAUAAAUGAGUACUUUUAAGUCCUAAUUUAUGAAACAGUACCAAACUUAUAAAUAUGCUAUGACCUAUUGAAGGGUUUAAUUAAAUUUAACACCCCAAAUUAUAAGUUGCAUCAUUCUAAAUUUAUCUCUAAACUUCAAAAACUUUUAACUAAAUAAUAGUAAAAUAUAUUGUUGGUCUUAGUCUUAGUUUUAAUAUUUGGGAUUGCAAGCGAAUUUCUAAGUCUUAGUAUAAGAAUAGAAUGUUAUUAACCUUAGUCAUGAAAAUAAUGUUUCUACCACUUUUCUUAACUGAUUGAGAGACAUUGAUGGGUCAAAGACUAAAUUUUGUUGGUGACUUCUCAAUGAACUUGUCCAAGUGUAUCAAAUCAAUAGAAACACAAUGAAACUAAAUAAUGGUUUGGUUUGAGGAAAAUAUAAGCUAUUCUUAGUCUUUGCUUUCAUUUGCACAAUGUUUGGCACUUUUCUUAUCAUAUUUGAACUUCACUCCAUAUGUUUGCUUUCAAUUUAAAACCAUAUUUAUUAUGUGGAUUAAAUCAUAGUAUUGUUAUUCAAAUUUAAAAUAAAGAAAUUAUUUCUCAAGGUAUCUAGUUGGUAAGUAAAUAUUUGCAUUUUGUUAGCCCAUUUACAGAGUAGAUGCCAUAGUUUUAAAAGUUGCUUCACAAUUAAGCCGAGGAUCGAAUCCUCGACCACGGAUUAAGGUAAGAAAGACUCUUACCAUCUCAUCUAACUCUAGUUAUUAAAAUUAAAAUUAAUUUGAAUACCAUAAAUUCAAAUAUUAAUAUUUACAUCUAUUCCAAAUUCAUUAUACAUAAUAAUUAAAAUAUUCAAAUCUAAAUAUUAUCAAAAUUCGUACUCUGGUGAUUAAAAUAUUUGUAUCCUAUUAGUCAUAUUAAUUAUGAUAUUUUCGUCAUUUUGCUUCAUCUUUAUUCUAUUAUGAUAUUUUCAUACUAUUAAUCAUAUUUGAUGUUCGCGAUUUAUUGAUAUAAAAUUUUUAGACAUUAAAUGAUGUUAUUAUUCUAAAUAUAUGCAAGCUCGACUUUGAAGUCCAACCUAUUUUAAACAUCUUUCCUUGUUGAUUGUGGAGAAUGGACCGUGAUUGCAUUGAAAAUACCAUUGAAGAAUAAUAAUUAAAAUAAUCAUAUUUUAUACUAUAAAAUAUUUAUUAUUGAAUAUUUAUAAAUUAUAUAUAUUUUUCUCAUUAAAAUAUCAAUAUAAAUAUUUUUUAAUUAUAUAUUAAGAAUAUUAUUUAAAAUUAAAUUAAAUUAUUAAAAUUUAUUAAUAAAAUAAAAUUAUAAUAUUAAAAUUAAAAAUAUAUUAUUAAUAUAAUUAUAUUAAACUUGAUUCAAAUUAAUUUUGUAUAUAAAGAUAAAAAUAUUCAUAAAUAAGCUUUGUUCGAUAAAUUAAUUACGUUUUCCAAAAAGUCAAAUUAAUUUACAGAAAAAUGAUAUUAUUUAAAUUUCCAUACUAAAAUACUUUUAAAUUUAAUUAAAAUUAUCAAAGACGAAUGAAAUUCAUGAAAUUAAUUUAACAACUUUUCAAUUUUUCGAAAAAAUCAAUUUGAUUCUUCUUCUUUUUUCAAAAUUUAUCAAGCCAAUUGAAACACAAAAAAAUUUAAUAUUUUUAAUUUUUGACUGACAAAAAAAAUGAUACUAUGAGAUAUUUUUUAUAUUAUUAGACCUAAUCUUAAUCUUUGGCAUUCCAUGCAAAUGUCUAAAUCUUUUUGCCCCUUUACUACGGCAUUAAAACAAUGUUUAGCAAAUUUCUUAGGGAGAUGGAUUGAUGGAUAUAAGUAGUGGAAAUUUUGAUGAUACAAUUCUUCUCUUCUUAACAAUUUCUUUCAAAGAAACAUAUUUAAAUUUCCACACCGAAACUUCUUUAAUUUAAAGGAAUAAAUCUUAAAAUUAUAAACUAUGUGUUAAUGUGUAAUUGUAUACAUGAAUUUUGAUUUUAUGCAAUGUUAUACAUGAAAUUUUGAUUUGAUUCAAUUCUUGUAAUUUAUUAACACAAUUAUUGAUAUAACAACAUUUUAUGUCUAUAUAUUGUAUACAUAAAUAAUUAUAUUUAUCUAAUAUAAAAAUAAAUUGAUGUUUUUAUUUCAUUAAAUGUGUAUGAUUAAAUCAAAAUUAAAAUUUGAAUUAUACAUUUGAACCACAAUUAGAGUUCCACGUGUAUGAUUACACCAAACUAAAGUUCAUAUAUAUAAUUGCACAUUAAAUUAAAGUUUAUAUAUAAUUUUAAGUUUUAUCCCUAUUUGAAAUUAUCAAAGACAAAUGAGAUUAACGAGAUGUAUUAUAUUAUAAACAAAGUUCGAUUCUUUGAAAAAGUUAAGCUCCAAUUUCAGAAGUUUUUUUUUCCAAAGUUUAUCAAACGAAUUCAAACACUAUGAGAUUAAACAACAUAUAAUUUUUUAAAUCUAAAAUAUGGAUUUUUUUUCUUUUUUAAAUCUAAAGUCAGUUCCAAUUUUCUAGUGUUUUAGAUUGUUUACUAACACUAAAAAGCACACCACAUUGUAAGGCAUCAUUUCUUUCAUUGUAUUUUUUUUUUUACGUAGACACCAAAAUUUCAUCGGGAUACAAAUCAGCACUUUGUGGUAAACUCAAUUUAACUCAAUUUUAAUUGUAGCAAAGCUUUUAACCGGGGGCUCUUUUUCCACCAUUUUUCUUCUAACACUUUCGGCUCCCAGCACUCUGGAGGCAUCCUCCAUCACUGAACAUUCUUCACUCACCUUCAUCAUUGCCACCACCAACCACAUCAGCAUCAGAAUCAACAUAAUCAUCUUCAUCUCAGUCACCUCUCUCACCUCUAACCCAUACCAACAUUUUUAGGGUACAAAAUUGUGCUCCAAGACACAAGCAUAGUGACACCUGAGAAUCAUCCAAUUCAUCUUCAUGUAUACGAUUUCUAUAUCAUUGCACAACGUUUAAAGAACUUCGAUCCUAAAAGGGAUACUUCUAAAUUCAACCUUGUUGAUCCACCUGUGAGGAACACCGUUGGAGUGCCUGUGAAUGGAUGGGCAACCAUCAGAUUCGUCGCUGAUAAUCCAGGUAAACACCCUUCUUCAUCAUUUCAAUUACUGUGAUUCCAUUACCAAUUUUUUACUUGUUAUUAGUAUUUUUCUUAAUCAUUUUCAUAGUAUUGUGGCAUACCAAUUCUUCCCUGCAUCUGGGAAACUAGUUUAAUGCUCUGUUUCAUUGGAUAAAUUUCCCUAAAAAGUAUGUGUACAUUGUAAUAAUAGUGUGAGAUAGUGUCGGCCUUUGGCUAACAUUGGAAAACAUACUAGAUUGUAACACAAAAAUUCUUUCAUUAUAUUUUAAUUAUUAUUAUCAUAUUAUUACAUACAAAGUUUAAUUGAAUGGUAAUUUUUAACGUAAUAAUAUUAUCAUUGAAAGGAUAAAUAGACUAAUAUAAAAACAAGUGUCAAGCUGCACUAAAACCCGGACCAACGGGUCCACCCUUUACACCCAGACCUAAAGCAUAAGACGUGAUUGAAAAAUGCUUGUAGUCAUAAGAAACUAAUUACCAUUUUCUUCAAAGAUAACGUACCUCCUGACUGGAUAUUCCAUGUCCUGUGCAUUGCUAAAUGAUACAUAAAAUUACAAUAGAAUCUGGAAAAUGAAUGUCAAUGCUACGAGUAGGAUAUGAUAGAGAAAUUUACUUUUCAACAACUAUAUAUAUCAACUACCUUUUCAAAUUAGAAAGACUAAUGCUUAAUUAGACUAAUGCUUAAUUACCAGCUAAUUUUGAAACAAGAAUUCUGAUGGAGUCACCUACACCUUACCUUAAACAUGAUAAUGCUGGCAAUUAUGGUGAACGUUGUGAACAUGACAUAGUAAACAGGACAUACAACAGUAGUAUGAAAAGUGUCUAAAGCAUGCAAAAUUGUAAGCUUUUAGUAGCAUCAAGAAUAAUAACAACUUAAAUUUAGAGUCAAUCAUCAUAUUAAAUCAAGAAUAUAAGUUGAAAGAAAUUAUUUUUUUAAAAAACACAUUUAUGCUUUUUUAUCCUAUAAGCAAUUUAAUAAUGAACAAAUUGAUCUCUCAACAAAAAUUACAAAAUAUUUCAAAAUAGUUUUUAAAAUUCAAAAUAUUUAUAAAAAAAUUAAAUUAUAUUUAUUUUUUCAAUUGUAAGAAUAUUUUUAUUAUUUUGUUUUGAAAAAGUUUUCAAAUGUAUAUAGUUUUAAAUUUAUGUGCUCUAACAUUGAAUUAGUUAUCCUAUAACAAGAUUUUAAUUUGACAUAUUUAAUUUUUUAAUUGAACUUGAAUAAUUUCACUCGAUUCAAUUUGACUCGAAUUUUAUUUCACUCGACUCAAUUCGAAAAAAUGUCAAAUCAAGUUAGGAUGAUAAAUAGGACUCAUUAGUUCAAUUAACUCAAAAAAUUUUCACUUGAUUCGAUUAAACACUCAUAAAAAUCAUCAAAAAUAAAUGAGACGGAGAUAAUUUGCUGAAGGAUAAGAUGAAAUGUGUUUUAGAAAUUAACAUUUUUUUUCUUUGGCAUGCAAGCUAAUGUUCAAGUCUUUUUACCCAAUAAUGAGUACUCCUAAAUCCAACUUAUAAAUAUGUUAUGAUCUACCAACGGGCUUAAUUAAAUCCAACACCCCAAAUUAUGGGCUCAACUCUAAAUUCAAGAUUUGGCAUUGCAUGCAAAUGUCUAAGUCUUUGCCCGAUCCUUACUAGAUGAAAACAAUGGUUUACCACUUUGUUUAAGUCAAGUCAUUAUAAACACAAAAAUAAAGCAUUUGUGUUAGCUGGUUGAGAUGGAUUGAUGAGUGAAAAUUAUGAUGACCACACAAUUUCUGCGAAACUUCGAUUGGUACAAAAUAAGUGCGAGGCUGUACCAAAACCCAACAUGUGUUUGAUAAAAUAAAAACCCAAUGUGUCAGCAAAAGGUGGGAGUAGCAGCAGCAGCUGUCUCUUUACACAAUCAGUACAAUGUCCAUCAGAUAUGGCUUUCAUGUUUGCUGGCUGUGAAGGAGGAUUGUUUCCAUACAACUUAUUUAUACACAAAUUAGUUCUUUCCAUACAUUAUUUUGAAUUUUGGACUAAGCCCGAUCACUACUGCAUCAAUGUUGUACCACUAACUUUAUUUUGGUCAAUUAAUAAAAAAAAAUGGAAUUGUGGUGAUUUUUUUUAGCUGAUUGAGAUAAAAUGAUGGCUCAAAGACUAAAUUUUCUCAUAACUUUGAUGACUUUUCAAUGAACUUAAAGUGUAUGGAAUCAAUAGAAAUUUAUGGAAUGAGAUAUUAUUGGACUUAGUCUUAGCCUUUUGGCACUGUAUGCAAAUGUCUAAAUCUUUUUUACCCCAUCAAAACAAUGUUUAGCAAGUUUCUUAUGUAGUUGAGAUGGAUUGAUGGGCACAAGUAGCGGAAAUUUUGAUGAUAAAAUGUUUACAAUUUUCCUCUUCUUAGCAAUUUCUUUGAAAGAAACAUAUUUAAAUUUUCACAAUAAAAUUUCUUUAGAUUUAAUUGAAAUUAUCAAAGAAAAAUGAGAUUGACAAGAUAUCUUAUAUUAUUAACAAUUUUUCGAUUCUUUCAAAAAAUUAAUUUCAAUUUCAAAAGUUUUUUGAAAUUAAUAGAACUAUCAUUGAAAGGAUAAACAAACUAGUAUAAAAAUAAGUGUCCGGCUGAACUAAAACUCAGACCAACAGGUCCACCCUUUACACCCGGUCCUAAAGCCCAACACGUGAUUGAUAAAAUAUAAAGCUAAUAUCUGUUUGGAAGAGCAAAGGAUGAGAGUAGCAGCAUCUGCGUCUCUUUACACAAUCCGUCCAAUGUCCAUCAGAUAUGGCUUCCAUCAACAUCAUGCCAUUAAAUCUCCUCAGCUGUACAAAUAUUCUGAAGAUAAAAUAAUUGAAGUAAAAGUAAAUUGCAUAUAAAAGAAAGCUUGGGCAGCCAUUUCCUUGUUUAUAAUAUCAUUAUUAGCAUGGAAAUUCAGUAGCAGUGAAACAUUGCAUCCCCCAAAUCCACAGGGACCUGGAUGCAAAAUGAAUAAACACUAAUAUAUACUCAUGGAAAACUACAAAAGGAAAAAAGUGCAUAUAAAGCAAAAUUACAAACCAGUGGAUUGAUCUUGUUAGGAUCAUUGCCUACAUUCUUCAUGAACCUCACAACUGUACAUUCCAUGUCCUGCUUCAAGUACCUCCUGCAUUGCUCAAUGGUAACAUCAAAUUACAAGUACGAUAUAAUAGUGAACUUGGUAAAGACAGCAAAAAAUGAGGUUAUAUAUAUAUAUAUAUAUAUCAACUAUCUGUUCAAAUUAGAAAGACAAAUGCUUACCAGCUAAUUUUGAAGAAAGAAUUCUGAUGGAGUCACCUAUAUCUUCUGCUAUUUCUUUUCCCACACUUUUUGAACUUGUCCACCCAUUUGUUUCCCAACUCAUUCAGCACUGUAUAUCCAAUACAUAGCCCAACGACUAAUCCACUAGCAUAACCUAUCAACGCAAUUUUCCAAGUAGACAGAGCAUAUAACCAUGAAUCUUCAUCUUCCCCUGGAGGUGGUGGCAUUGGAAGACCAACUUCAUUGCAUUUUCUUGACAAUGGCAGCCCACACAAUUUUGGGUUCCCACGGUAGGAAUCAUUUGUAAAUGUAAUGAAUUGGUUGCUUUGUGGUAUGCUCCCUUCAAGUUGGUUGUAUGACAAGUUCAAUGCUUCCAGGAAAGUUAGACUUGUAAGUUGUGGAGGAAUCUUCCCUGACAGCUUGUUUCUUGAGAGAUCCAAAGAUUCGAGGUCUUUUAGAUUUUGAAGUGCUAAUGGGAUUUCACUAGAGAAGCUAUUGUUGGAUAAGUUCAUCACUCUGAGUGACCUCAGCAUUUGUAUUUCUUCUGGUAUUCUCCCAUGGAAACUAUUGUUGGAAAGGUCAAGACAAGUAAGAAUUGCCAAGACUUUUUGGUAGAACAUUUCAAUCCCUUUGUUAACAAUUGUCACAGAGUCUUGAUAAUAAUUCUCUCCGAUAUAAUUCAGCUUAGCCUUUUCGUCAUUAGUCAUCUUCGCCAUUGCCUUCAAACUCUGCAAAAAUUCAAUGGACAAGUCACCUGAAAAAUUGUUGGAAGCAAUGUCCAAUAUACGUAGCUUUGGAAACCCACAUUCCGUGUCGAUUUUUGAAAUUGUACCGUAGAAUCUGUUUGCUCGCAAAACGAGAACCUUCAAGGAAGGUAGCUUCUCUAGCCAAAAUGGGAAUGUAUCAUGAACCAUAUUAUUUCCGAGGUCCAGAACCUCAAGUGCUGUGCAAUUGGCUAAUGAUCUCGACAGCUUCCCUUCCAAUUUAUUCCCACCUAUUUUGAGUGACCUUAGUCUAGUGGGUUGAAGGAAAUCAAUGGAUAGUUCACCAGAAAACUGGUUUGAAGCAAUGUCCAAUACAUCCAAAGUUGGGAAAACAGAUUUAUGUUUGAAAUGUUUAAUUUGACCAUAAAACCUGUUUUCCCGCAAAAUGAGAACCUUUAGCGCAGGCAAUUUCUCCAACCAAAAAGGGAAUGUAUCAUUGAUCAUGUUGCUUCCUACAUCCAAAACCAUAAGUUGAGUGCAUUUUGCUAAUGAUCUGGGCAACUUCCCUUCCAAUCUAUUCUCACUAACUUUCAGAAAUUGCAGUUGGGUUGCUUUUGAAAAUUUUGGUAUCAUUCCACUGAAGUUAUUUCCUUGCAAACCCAACCAACUCAGAGCACUCAUAUUGCCCAAGCAAUUUGGAAUUGGGCCACUCAAAUUGUUAUAAGAUACAUCGAAACUGUAAAGUUGACUCAUAUUGCAUAACCAAUUUGGAAUUGGGCCACUCGAAUUGUUAUAAGAUGCAUCUAAACCGCUAAGCUGACUCAUAUUGCAUAACCAAUUUGGAAUUGGGCCACUCAAAUUGUUAGAAGAUGCGUCGAAUUCUUCUAAAUUUUCUUGACUCUUUAAGAACUCCGGAAAUGCACUUAUGUUACAAGAUUCCAGACGCAAUCGCCUCAACAUUGGGAAAGAGAAGUUUGCAUCACUUAAAGGAAGUUGUUUUGGAAAAUCAAUCACAUUGAAAGAAAGGUCUAAGGAUAAAAGACUGCUCUUCCACAACCAAUUAGGCACAACACCAUGGAUAUGGUUGCUAGAAAGAUCUAAGUCAACCAACUUGUCUUGUGUUUUGAUGAACUCUGGAAACGCACUUAUGUUACAGGAUGUCAAACGCAAGUCUUUCAACAUUGGAAAUGAAAAGUUUGCAUCAUUUAAGGGAAGCUGUUUUGGAAAAUCAAUCAUAUUGAAAGAAAGGUCUACCCAUGAAAGACUGCUCUUCCACAACCAAUUGGGCACAAAACCAUGGAUAUGGUUGUUAGAAAGAUCUAAGCCAACCAACUUGUCUUGCCUUUUAAUGAAUUCUGGAAAUUCAGUAAGGUUGCAUGACCAUAGCCUUAGUGUCUCUAAUUGGGGUAAAGUAAGACUUCUGUUGUCGCUUUCAAUUAACAAGCUUAUAUUGUUUAGCCAGAGAGUCCUUAAGUUGUUGAGUUGGACAAACAUGUCAAGCUUCAUGGAACUGAAGCUAUUGCUUUCAAUAUAAAGCCAUUCAAGCCUUGGAAGUUGAAGGAUUGACUUUGGGAUUGGUCCUGUUAAAUAAUUAUUGCCUAUAUAUAGUUCUUGAAUCAAAGAAGAAGAUGCAUUGGGGAACUCAUCAAUUUUCCCAACCAAUUGAUUUUCUCCAAGAUACAAGAUCUUCAACGAUGGAAGAGUAAAUAAAGAAGAAUGUAUUGAUCCAGAAAGCUUGUUCCCUCCUAGAUAUAGGUUGACCAGGUGACUAAGAUUUGCAAUUGACGAUGGAAUGGGUCCAAAAAAAUUGCAAUCAUCAAGCUCUAAAUUUGUCAGGAACUUGAGGUUACCAAUUGAUUGGGGUAGUUUUUCACUGAAAUUUGUAUAAGAAAGCGACAAACUCUGUAAAGAAUUGUUUGAUGAAAAUUCUGGCAACUGACCCAUAAGUUGGUCAUUAUCUGAAAUGUCAAUGCUUUGCAUUUUUGGCGAUAAGAGAUUUUCAGUUGGAAAAUGGCCACUCAAAUUGCAGUUCCUCAAACUGAGAGAAACCAAACGAGAGGAAAUUUCCAAGAAAUUGGGAGGUAAAUAAGAGAUUGGGUUCCAAUCAAGGAUAAGUUUGGAAAGAAAAGAGAGUCUUGAGAGUGAAGAACAUAAUGGACCUUUCAAACCACAGCUUGACAGACUCAACACAUGCAGGUUUGGAAGUACAAGAGAUGUGGUUUCACACCAUUUAGUACUUUGAGUUGAAAUGUCGACACCAUCCAAAUAAAGCUCCGUGAGAAACUUCAAAUUCUUGAUAAAUGUCUUGAAGUUUGGUUUCUCCAAUUUUAAAGUAGCUGAAUCAUAAUCGUAACCAUUUCUCAAAUAACAAGAACCUUGAUUGGAUAGAUCAAGAGAGACUAACCUUUUUAAGAAUGAGAUCUCCACUGGAAUUUGGCCAUGGAAACAUGAGCUUGAAAGGUUGAGAUGAGUUAGAUUUUGGAGUUCAUCAAACCCAUAGGAAAACAGAGUGGUAUUAAAGUUGUUUCCAGCAAGAUUCAGGUGUUGAAGAUGAUGGAGAUCGAAUAUGGAGUGAAAGCUGCCUGAAAGGUUUUUGUAACUAAGAUCAAUGCCAACGACAUGACCAUAAGCAUCACAAGUGACUCCUUCCCAAGAACAACAAUCAGUGUUGACAUCCCAGAGGUCAAAAUUGGAAGAGAAAGUAAAAUUAGGGGCAUAGUAAAGAUGAUGCUGCAAUUGCAGGAGAGGAGCUCUCUGGUCUUCAAGGCAUUGCUUAGGGAGAUGAGUUUGAGGAGGUGAAAAAGACAAGACAAGAGAAAGGAAGCAUGAGAAGAGGAAGAGUGAAAUAAGGAAAUGAAGAGUGUUCAUGUUUGUUGGGUGUGAAGAAGGAUUGUGCUUGGCAUACAACUUAUUUAUACACAAAUGUGUAGUUUUCAUGUUUGGCAUAGCAUGCAAUUUCCAAGUCUUUUUGCCCAGUCAAUACUGCAUCAAAAUAAUGUUCCACCACUUUAGUUAAGUCUUUUUGGUUAACCUUUUCCAGCAAGGGAUAAUAAUAAUAAUAAUACUAAUAAUAAAUAAUUUAUAGCAUAAAUUAUUUGUUGUUAGUAUUAGAAAUAAGUUGUUAAAUUCACAUUUAAUUUGCGUUUUAAUAUAUUAUUAGAGAAUAAUAUAUUAUUGAUGUCAUUUUUUUAAUAUUUAAUUUUUAUGUUUUAUAUUAAUAAAUAUUUUUAUAAUUCGAGUUUCGAGUUGAAUUUUACAAUUUAAAUAACUCAAAUACUUCAAACAAUAAAUUGAUGUACAUGCUCCUUUGGUCCCUGUCAAUUUUAAAAAUUAACAAAUUGAUCUCUCUCAACAAAAGUUUUCAAAUAAAAUUUUAAAUAAUUUUUAAAAUCAAAAUAUUCAUAAAAAUUCUCAAAUUUAUAUUUUGUAAAAACUAUAAUAAUUUUAAAUCAUAAUGGUUUUAAUUUGAAAAUUUUAAAAUCUUUAAUUUAGGACCAGAAAAAAUUGUAGUAUGAAAUAUUAUAGGCCUUUUAAUUUAGGUAUUAAGUCUUUGGCAUUGCAUGCAAAUGUCCAAGUUUUUAUUGCACAAAAAUAAUGUUUAACCAAUGUGUACAAGUCAAGUCACCUUAUAGAUUGAUGGACACAAUAAGUGGAAAUUUUGAUGAUAGAAUAUAUAGAAUUUUUCACUUUUGAAAGAUACAUUUUUAAAUUUCAGCUUUCAAACUUUCUUAAAGCUUGAGAAAUAUUUUCAUUUCUAUAUUAUUAUUUAAUUAUUAUUUAAUUUUAAUAUUUUAAUAUUUUAUAAUAUUAAAAAUAGUUAUAAUUCGAGGUUCGAGUUGAAUUUUAUAAUUUAAAUAAUUCGAAUAAUUCAAACAACAGAUUGAUAUAUUUACUCCUUUGAUUCUUGUCAAUUUUAAAAAUUAACAAAUUAAUAUUCUCUCUCAACAAAAAUUACAAAAAUAUAUUAAAAUAUUUUUAAAGUUAAAAUAUUCAUAAAAAUUCUAAAAUUUAUAUUAUGUAAAGACUAUAAUAAUUUUUUAUUAUUUUGCUUUGAAACAGUUUUUUAAUAUUUAUGAUUUCAAAUAUUAAUUAUACUAUAAUAAGAUUUUAAUUUGACAUAUUUAUUUUUUAAUUUAAAUCAAACAAUUUUACACCCUAAAUAAUUUUGACCUGUCACCAGUAUACACACAGGUCAAAUUAAUACAAAUACAUAAGAGCUCAAAAAUAACACUAAAAAAAACAAUUGUUUGAUUUAUUAGUAGAGAAUUGGAUUUUUAAUUCUAAUGAUUAAAUAUCAAACUCAAACAACUUCAAAUAUAUAUACAUAAAGGAUGUUAUGAAACACUCAUAAAAAUCAUCAAAAAUAAAUGAGACGGGGAUAAUUUUUUGAAGGAUAAGAUGAAAUGUGUUUUAGAAUUAACAUUUUUUUUUCUUUGGCAUGCAAGCUAAUGUUCAAGUCUUUUUACCCAUUAAGGAGUACUCCUAAAUCCCAACUUAUAAAUAUGCUAUGAUCUACCAACGGGUUUAAUUAAAUCCAACACCCCAAAUUAUGGGCUCAACUCUAAAUUCAAGAUUUGGCGUUGCACGCAAAAUGUCUAAGUCUUUGCCCGAUCCUUACUAUAUGAAAACAAUGGUUUACCACUUUGUUUAAGUCAAGUCAUUAUAAACACAAAAAUAAAGCAUUUGUGUUAGCUGGUUGAGAUGGAUUGGUACAAAAUAAGUGCGAGGCUGUACGUACUAAAACCCAACAUGUGUUUGUUAAAAUAAAAACCCAAUGUGCCAGCAAAAGACGGGAGUAGCAGCAGCAGCUGUGUCUCUUUACACAAUCAGUAUAAUGUCUAUUAGAUAUGGCUUUCAUGUUUGCUGGCUGUGAAGGAGGAUUGUUUCCAUACAACUUAUUUAUACAAAAAUUAGUAAUUUCCAUACAUUAUUUUUAAUUUUGGACUCACCCCGAUCACUACUGCCUGAAAAUAAUGUUGUUCCACUAAUUUUAUUUUAGUCAAUUAAUAAAAAAAAUGGAAUUGUGGUGAUAUUUUUUUAACUGAUUGAGAUAGAUUGAUGGCUCAAAGACUAAAUUUUCUCAUAACUUUGAUGACUUUUCAAUGAACUUAAAAGUGUAUGGAAUCAAUAGAAAACUAUGGAAUGAGAUAUUAUUGGACUUAAUUAGUCUUAGCCUUUUGUCACUGCAUGCAAAUGUCUAAAUCUUUUUGACCCCAUCAAAACAAUGUUUAGCAAUUGUUUCUUAGGUAGUUGAGAUGGAUUGAUGGGCACAAGUAGUGGAAAUUUUGAUGAUACAAUGUUUAUAGUUUUCCUCUUCUUAGUAAUUUCUUUGAAAGAAACAUAUUUAAAUUUCCACAUUAAUAUUUUUUUAGAUUUAAUUGAAUUUAUCAAAGACAAAUGAGACUAACGAGAUGUCUUAUAUUAUUAACAAUUUUUUAAUUCUUUGAAAAAACUAAUUUGAAUUUCAAAUUUUUUUUUCAAUUUCAAAAUGCUACAAAUCAAACAAAUCAGGAAUAAAAAUUUAAUUUGCCAUUCUCCUCCUAUUAGGAAGGGAUAUAGAUGACGUGAAUAAAGAGAAUGGAUUGUAGGAAACUAUAAUUUCAUGUCAUCCUAACAAAUCACAUUUUGUUCUCCUAAUUUUCAACCUUUUCCUCUUGGAAAAAUUCAAAUCCAAUUAAAAAUGCUACAAAUUAGACAAAUUAGGAAUAAAAAUUUAAUUUAUUAUUCUCCACUUAUUAAAAAGGGACAGAAAUAACGUGAAAUUACAGUUUCAUAUCAUUCUUUCCCUUAAAUAAAUUCUUUUAAAUGUUUUACAAUGAUAAAAUUGUCGCUUGAAUAAAUUCUUAUAAAUGUUUUACAAUAAGAGAAUUGAUUAUUUUUAUUAAGAUCACAUAUUUAUUUCUAAUGUUUUAGAUUGUUUGCCAAUACUAAAAACCACACCACAUUAUAAAGAAUCAUUUAUUUCAUAUAUUUUAAUUUUUAUCAUAAUUUACUUUUGGCUACAUCCAAAGGGUUAAUUCCUUAAAUUAUGGACUAAAUUUUAAAUUGAUCUCUAAAUUUUUUAAAAAAAAAUUAAUUACUCAAACAAUAAAUCACAUUCUAAUUUGAAAUUUUUAAUUUUGGACUAACAAAGAAAAUAUUAGUGUGAGAUAUUGUUGGCCUUUGGCUAACAUUGGAAAGCAUACUAGAUUUUAAGACAUAAUUUAUUUCAUUAAAUUUUAAUUAUUAUUUUUAUUUUUAUCAUAUAAUUAUCUAAUUCAAUCAUAUUUUUGAAAUUAAUAAAACUAUCACUGAAACGAUAAAUAAACUAGUAUAAAAAUAAGUGUCUAGCUGAACUAAAACCCGGACCAACAUUAUAAACUAAUUAAAAUGAUUUUCUACUAUUUUAAUAAUUUGGACUAAUUAAUAACAUUAUAAAGAUGUAAUGCCUAAAUUAUGUUAAAGAUUAAAGUAUAUAUAUGUAUGUAUACAUAUUACUAUUUUUAACCAAUUCUUUUUAUAUUAUAUAUAUAUGAAUAUAUUUUUUUAAAUGCAAAUAUAUAUAUUUUUUAUAUACUUUAUAAUUUAUUUUUUCCUUUUACUUUCGUAAAUGCAUCAUGUAUGUAUAAGUUUCAUAGCCCAAAAUUUAUUUGUAAAUUAUAUGUAUAUUUUUAAUCUUCAUAAUUUUCAUGUGUGUAUUAUAUGUCUUCUGAUUUUUAUUUAUUUUGUUUGUUUUCCUCAUUCGAGGUAUAAUUGUGUUUACAUUUAAUGUUUUGCAUGUCAUGGAUCAUUAUUUUUUUAUUUCGUUUAUUUAUUUGUUUAUAUUAUUUUUAUGCCAUUAAUGUAUUUAUUAUCGUUGUAUUUAUUAUUAUAGCAUUUGUAUGUAUAAUAUAACGUUACAUCAUCUUUUACUCAAAUUUAAAAUUAGAAAAUUUCCAAGAUUGAGAUAAUGCUCGUAUUAAGGAUUUUCAAGGAAAUUGAGCCCUAACGUAUUGGGUUCCGAUUUUCUUCGUUAAAUCCAACGAUCGAGCAUUUCUCUUUAAUCAAAAAUAAUAACUCAUUAUUGGGAAUUCAACACGUUGUGUCCUAACGUAUUGGAUGUGACGCAUUGAUUUCUCGAAAUGAAGAUUUUUUAAAAAUAAUAAAGGGAAUAUUCCGAAUUUGGGAUUUUAAAGGAAUUGUGCCCUAACGUAUUGGGUGUGAUUUCUUAAAUCUUGGAUAAGUGGAUGUUCUUUUAAAGUAAAGGAAAUAUUCCGAGUUUGGGAUUCUAAAGGGAUCGUGCCCUAACGUAUUGGGUGUGAUUUUUAAAUCUUGGAUGAGUGGAUGUUCUUUUAUUCUGACCUAAUUCAUUUUGGGGAAAAUUAGAAUGUUGUGCCCCAACGUAUUGGGUGUGGCAUUUUUGCUUCUCUGAAUUGAAAAGGGUAUUAAUAUGCAACGUUUUAAGUUUUUUAAAAGAUUAUUUUAAAAUUUUCGACCUUAAGACAUUAAUUAAUUAACUAGGUACCAAUUUUUGGGCGUAAUGGGGGUGCUAAUCCUUCCUCAUACGUAACCGACUUCCAGACCCGUUUUUUUAAAAAGAAUUCGUAGACCAAAGCCGUUUUAGGUGAUCCAAUCACACCUUACUAAAAGAUUGGUGGCGACUCCGAAUUUUCUUUUUUUAAGUCGACAACCUAAAAAUUUUGUUGUUUUCAAAAAAAUGGUUUCGACAAUUAGUAUUUUUCUUAAUCAUUUUCAUAGUAUUGUGGCAUACCAAUUCUUCCCUGCAUCUGGGAAACUAGUUUAAUGCUCUGUUUCAUUGGAUAAAUUUCCCUAAAAAGUAUGUGUACAUUGUAAUAAUAGUGUGAGAUAGUGUUGGCCUUUGGCUAACAUUGGAAAACAUAUACUAGAUUUUAACACAAAAAUUCUUUCAUUAUAUUUUAAUUAUUAUUAUCAUAUUAUUACAUACAAAGUUUAAUUGAAUUGUAAUUUUUAACGUAAUAAGGCUAUCAUUGAAAGGAUAAAUAGAUUAAUAUAAAAACAAGUGUCAAGUUUCACUAAAACCCGGACCAACGGGUCCACCCUUUACACCCGGACCUAAAUUUAACUCGAAUAAUUUCAUAUGAUAAUGUUUUUUAUAUACCCUAUAAUUUUGACCGGUCAACACUAUAAACACACGUAAAAUACAAAUACAUAAGAGCUCAAAAAUAACACUAAAAAAAACAAUUGUUUGAUUUAUUAGUAGAGAAUUGGAUUUUUAAUUCUAAUGAUUAAAUAUCAAACUCAAACAACUUCAAAUAUAUAUACAUAAAGGAUGUUAUGAAAAAUAAAAUUAACAAAUGAAAAAACAUAAGGAACAUUUCAGUAGCAACUUUUUACAUAGACAUCAAAUAAAGAAACACUCUUAAUUUUACUUUUGUUUGUCUCUCUUCUUCUUUUUUUACCUUUCUUGUAUGAAACUAAAUGCAAGAAAAGUAAAGAUUAGAAUCCAAAUACGAAUUUCAAACCUGUAGGGCUGAGUAUCUAGAUUCGAGACUAUAUUUAGUUCAGGAGAUGUAUAAUCAGGGAGUCUGCCACUGAGAACUUUUUCCCAUAUCUUUGGUUUUGUGAAGGAGGAAUAUUGUGCCUGAUAAAAUUAUAAUAAAUCCACAUAAUUCUGUUGUAAUCUCUGUCCCGCCUUAUGAAUAGGAUUGUAUAUAAAUCAAGUUUAAUCCGUCAGUUUAUUUUUUUUGGCCUAUUAGUGUUCACGUUUAUGCAUAUAAACUAAAUAAAUAUGUCUACGAUGUUCAUGAAAAUAGUCAAACAUUUCCAUAAGAAAGUUAGUCAAACUCAAAAAUAAAAAUAAAAUUUGUUGAUUUACACUCCCUACCUAUAUAAGUGGAGUAAGGAUGUAUAUAGAUAAAAACCUUACCUUAAACAUGAUAAUGCUGGCAAUAAUGGUGAACGUUGUGAACAUGACAUAGUAAACAGGACAUACAACAGUAGUAUUAAAAGUGUCUAAAGCAUGCAAAAUUGUAAGCUUUUAGUAGCAUCAAGAAUAAUAACAAUAACUUAAAUUUAGAGUCAAUCAUCAUAUUAAAUCAAGAAUACAAGGUUGAAAGAAAUUAUUUAAAAAAAAACACGUUUAUGCUUUUUUAUUCUAUAAGCAAUUUAAUAAUAAGCAAAUUGAUCUCUCAACAAAAAUUACAAAAUAAUUUUUAAAAUUCAAAAUAUUUAUAAAAAUUUCAAAUUUCAAAUUUCACUUCACUCAACUCAAUUCGAAAAAAUGUCAAAUCGAGUUAGGAUGAUAAAUAUGACUCAUCAGUUCAAUUAACUCAAAAAAUUUUCACUUGAUUUGAUCAAACACUCAUAAAAAUCAUCAAAAAUAAAUGAGACAGAGAUAAUUUGUUAAAGUAUAAGAUGAAAUGUGUUUUAGAAUUAACAUUUUUUUUCUUUGGCAUGCAAGCUAAUGUUCAAGUCUUUUUACCCAUUAAUAAAUCCUAAUUUAUUAAGUAGUAUCCAACUUAUAAAUAUGUUAUGAUCUAUCAACGGGUUUAAUUAAAUCCAACACCCCAAAUUAUGGGCUCAACUCUAAAUUCAAGAUUUGACAUUGCAUGCAAAUGUCUAAGUCUUUGCCCGAUCCUUGCUAUAUGAAAACAAUGGUUUACCCCUUUGUUUAAGUCAAGUCAUUAUAAGCACAAAAUAAAGCAUUUGUUUUAGCUGGUUGAGAUGGAUUGACGGGAAUAUGGAGUGGAAAUUAUGAUGACGACACAAUUUCUGCGAAACAGAUUAGUACAAAAUAAAUGCGAGGUUGUACUAAAACCCAACAUGUGUUUGCCCGAUCAAUACUGCAUGAGAUGGAUUGAUGGGCACCACUUAUGACUUAUGGGUGGAAAUUUUGAUGAUAAAAAGUGUGGGGUUCUUCUGAAAUUUACUUUGGGUUGAUUGAAAUUGAUGAUCACAGAUUAGUUGAAAUGUCUUACAAUAUUAGCCACUUUUCAAUCCUUUACACUUUCAAAGUUUGUCCAACCAAUUGAAAUGCAACAAGCAUAUAGUUUUUUAAGUCCAAAAUUAGAUUCUUUUUAUUGGUUUACAUAAUUAAUUUUCAUUUUCUCUUCAAUUAUUUAAAUCUAUUAUCUUUCUUUUAUUUUUUCAUGAACAAAGAUAAAAUCAUAAUUGGAUUAAGUCGGGUCAGGUCAUUCUAGAGCAAUAAUCAUAUAAUUUUUGAAGAAUUUUAUCCAAUGGUUGCAUAUAGCUAUACACGCCUAGAUGCCUUGAAAAUAUCAUUGCUUCCGGUCCAUCGACUACUCAGUUACCCUAUUUGAAUACAUGUGUCACCCUAAUCAUCCAAAGACAUUGAAUAAUUUCUUUAAUAAUUCGUAACACAGCUAAAUGGUGGAACUCAACUGAUCAUCUUGAAUCAAUUAGAUUGUAGUCAUAUUAUUCAUCUCAAGGACAAUCCAUUGAAAACCUAAUCUCUAAGUCAUUUGAAAUCCCUCCAAAGCUCCGCAAAGCUCGACAUUGAGUGUAUAACAACAUAAUGUAUUUAGAGACAAAGCUCAUAGAUUUAUUUUCUAAUUAGGAAAUUAUAUGUUUUUAGUGUAGGACUAAUAAAGAAACGAUAGUAUGCAUGGGUUUUUAUCAAAUGGAGUCUUUGACUUAGUCUUGGCAUGCAUACUUGCAAAUGACUCCUAUUGCCCAGUCAUUACUUAAUUAUGUUCUACUAAUUUCCAGGCCGGUUCUUAAUAUUUUUGGGCUUCAGGCAAACAAUAAAUUAGACUUUUUUUAAAAAAAAUUAUAUAAAAUGUAAUGCAAUAACAGCUGAACAUAUUUUGCGGCUUAGGUGAUGAAAUAUUUAUGGUGAAAAAUUAAAAAUCUUAUGCAUCUAAUUAAUUUAUUUUAGUCUGAAAUUUUUUUUCUUAUAUUAAAAACUGAAAAAAAUAAAUUUUUAAGCCCCUUCCACGAUUAUACUCUCAAAUAACCCGAUUGCCGGGGUUGCUAGUUUCCUUAAAAACCACAGAAAUAUAUUAAUCAAGUGAUAGAGACGCAGUGCAAUUUCAACACAAUUUGAAAAAGAUUGAACUUUUAAACUUUCUUGGUUUAAUUGAAAUCACUAAACUAAAUGAAAAAUGAAUUAGUGGAGAUGCCUUGGACGCUUUCUAAUUUCUUUCAAAAAAACUACUUCAAAAAUAUAUCUAUUUUUUCAAACUAAAUAAGAUUAAAGAGUUUGCUGACUGGCAACGGCGCCGUCGUUCACGUUGGCCCGGAAAAAUUAAAAAUUUUCCUUUUUUCUUUCCUCUCUCUAUUGGCCUCCCGAGCUUAGAUCUACCGAUCACCGUCCAAAAAAGUAAGAAAGUUUUGAUUUUUUUUCUUUUUUUUUGUUUCUUAUAUAUAUAUAUAUAUAUAUUCAAAAUAAAUAAAUAAUGCCUACCGGCUAAAUUUGAAACAAGAAUUCUGAUGGGAGUCACCUACAUCUUCUUCUAUUUCUUUUCCCACACUUUUUGAACUUAUCAACCCAUUUGUUUCCCAACUCAUUCAGCAUUCUAUAUCCAGCUCAUUUAUUUUCCCUCAAACUUUUAUUCCCCUAAACUUUUUAUUUUUCCCCUAAACUUUUACUUCUCAUCCUUUACUCCCAAAUAAAAAAAUCAAAAUUAUCCAAAAAACCCCUUAAACAUAAAUAGUAAUACUUUUAUUUAUAUCUACUAUUUAUAUUAUUAAAUUAAAUUUCACAUUUUAUAUUAUUUAUAUUAUUGAAUUGUUUAGUCAUAUUGAAUAUUUAUAUUAAAUUUGAAUUAUUAAUGAUGCCAUAAAAUAUUCAUGUUAAAAUUUUAUAUUGGUAUCAAUUUCACAUUUUAUCUUUAAAAUAACUUUUAUUAAAAAAAAGCACAUUUUUACAUUUAAUAUUUUUUUAAUUCCAAAAUACAUAGUGACAAGAAUCUGAAGAUAAUUGAAACAACUAAGCAAGCAAAGAAGCUAACACAUAUAUAAAAGAUUAAAAUAUAAAUUAUGAGGUGAUGAAAGUUAAUAACAAAUUUGAUUAUGGUAGACAAAUUUUAUUACGGUGGGUGACAGUGGUUACAACUACUCAAAAUUAUUUUUAAAAAUUUGACUUGAAUGAAUUCCAUCACAUUUGACUUGAUUCCAGAAAAUUUCAAAUUAAAUUAAGAUGAUAAAAUAUGAUUCAUCAACUUGAUUAACUCGAAAUUUUUCCAUUCCAUUCGAUUCGAUUUCAUUCGAUCGAACACUCACCCCUAACUGCAUGAAAGUAAUGUUCAACCACUUUGUUUAAUUCAAGUCAUUAAAAUAUCAAGUAGUGGAAAUUUCUAAGUCUUUGAUAUGAAUGCAAAAUUCUAAGUCUUUAUAACUGCAUGCCAAUAAUAAUGAUGAUGAUGAUGUACCAAUUUGAUUAAGGAAGGUCAUUAAAAAAAAGAAAUAAUGGUAAUUUUUUAAUAAAAUAAUUUAUUAUUGAAUUUUUUAAGUAAAAUUUGGUAUAAGACCCAAAAAUGGUAUAAAAUUAUUCAUUGAACAUAUAUAAACAUUAUCGUUGAUAAAAAAAAUUUUAAUACUUUAUACUUAUAAAAAAAUGAUAACAUGAGAUAUUAUUGCCUUUAAUCUUAGUCGUUGGCAUUGCAUGCAGAUGCAAAUGUUAAAAGUCUUUUUGCCAUAUCAUUAAUGCAUGAAAACCUAUGUUGAACCACUUUGUUGAACUCUUAAUAUUCUUCUUAUUAAUGCCAGGUUUCAAUCUUCUUGUCGGCUCUUUAUUCUAUAUAAAUGAUUUUCUAAUUUUAAUUUUCUUAAAUUUUAAUCAUUAAAAAAAUAAAAUUAUAGCAAUAAUAAUGUCCUUUAAACCUUAUUAGAGCCAUGAUUACACGUAGAAUGAACAAAGAUAUUUUUGUUCUAACUUCACUUGAAAUAAUGGUUGAAGUUGUUGCCUACCCUAAUCAGCACCAAAAACAUGUCAUCUACCUAAUCAGUCACACCUUCUCCUAUACGCACAUUAAAACCAAUAUUAUUGAUUGUAAAGCAUUCCGUUGUCAAGAUUUAUGACCAUAGACCUAACCAUAAUACUCAAUAAAUUCGCCAACACCACCAUGACCAUGUUUCCUCAACAUUGGUGUUAGAGUCAAAACCAGAUUGGUUUCUGUUACACCGUCUCGAAAUUUCCCAGACAACAUGGACCAUAGGCUGCUGAAUUUUGAAAAUUGAAAUUUUGUAUUGAAUUUCACUUCUAAGUUUUGGUUUUACAAAAGUUUAGGAUAAUGUCAAUAAUUUUGCAUGCUUCGACCGCUACCGCCCACAAUCAGUGCUCCAUGGAUUAUAACAGGCUUUGCAUGCUUCAACCAUUACUACCUUUCUAGCCACAAUGAGAAGGCCAGCAUAUAUAAAAUUCAGCUCAAUUGAUGGCCUUUGGUCGAAAAUAGUUUAUGAUCAUACCAAUUAAAACGCAAUCAUAGGACAUAUAGUCUAUUAAAUCUAAAAUAUGGAUUUUUUUCCCUUUCUUUUUUCUUCAUGUGCUAAUUUUUAUUUCUUGUAAAUAUUUUAAAUAAGUAUUAAUUUCUAUAAAUUCGUUUAAAUGUUUCGUGAAUCAUUUGAAUAAACUACUAUAUUUAUAGUAAAAAUGAGGUUGCAAUUGCAAGAGAGGAGAUAUGUGAUCAUCAAAGCGUUGGCUUGGGAGAUGAGAUUGAGAAAGAGAGGAUGAGAAGAGAAAGAAGAAAGGAAGAAAAAGUGAAACAAGGGAAUGAAGAGUCUUCAUGUUGGUCAAACCUGGUCCAAGACCAUCCAGAAUGCCCCAUAGUUUUGAAUUAUGAGUUUUAUUGGUCUUGUUAAUCAUAUUAAUUUCAAUAUAUUCAUAGACUUAGUCUUAGCCUGUGGCAUUGCAUGCAAAUGCCUAAAUCUUUUUGCAUGAAAACAAUGUUUACCAAACCAAUUCCAAUUCUUUGAAAAAAUUAAUUCCAAUUCCAAAAGGUUUUUUUAUUUUUUUUAUUUCAAAAUUUACCAAACCAAUUGAAACCCAAUGAGAUUAAAGAAUAUAUAAUUAUUUAAAUCUAAAAUAUGAUUUUUUUAUUCGUACAAAACACGGCUAAUUUUAAAUUUUUGUGGUCUCCACAAAUGGCCAGCUACCUGCACAAGGACACUGGCAAAUAACCGCCUGCAGCAGUACAUUCCUCAGCACCAUUCCGCACAGCCAAGGCACCGCAGCUCUAUGAGGAGCACAUACUCCUCUCCAAGCUCCUGGAUCCAAUAAAAAUACAAAAGGAGGUUAGCACCGCCGCCGCCAGAUUUGCCCAUAUGUUAAGAGAAUUCAUCAAUGAAAUUCAUAAGCCCAAUAACAAGGGUGAUUCCAUUACCAUUUUUUUGUUAUUAGUAUUUUUCUUAGUAUUGUAGCAUACCAAUUCUUCCCUGCAUCUGGGAAACUAGUUUAAUCCUCUGUUUCAUUGGAUAAAUUUCCCUACAAAGUAUGUGUACAUUGUAAUGAUAAUGUGACACGUUGUUGGCCUUUACUAGACUGUAAGACAUAAUUUCUUUCAUUAUAUUUUAAUUAUUAUUAUCAUAUUACAUACAAAGUUUAAUUGUAGGGUAUUUUUUUAAAGUAAUAAAACUAUCAUUGAAAGAAUAAAUUGACUAAUCCCAAUACCAAUUUAGAAUAGGAUUAUUGUAUUUAAAGCAGAAGUUCACAGUUGAGUAAACUAAAUCCUAAGAUGAUAAGAUCCAACCAUCCGCGUAUGAUAUAAACUACAUGUAAGAGAACGUCGAGUGCAACAUAUCAGUUUUGGGAUUAACCUUUUCACCAUAUGCUUCUCCUUUUCUCAACUUUAUGCUGCCAAUCUGUGCUUUCUUCUCAGAUUGUUGGCCUGAAAAUUAGAAUAUGAAGCUUCUCAUUUCACUUGCAAUUAUCAUGUUUUUCAUAUGCAUAACAUGGCUAAUUUUUAUUUCUUGUAAAUAAAUAUUUCAUUUCCGUAAAUUCGUUUAAAUGUUUCAUAAUGGGAGAAUCAUUUGAAAAAGCUACCAUAUUUAUAGUGUUUUACAUUGUUUGUCAAUUCCAGAAAACGGACCAUAUUUUAAGAUAUCUAAUUUUUCAUUAUAUUUUACUUACUUAUUUUUAAAGUAAUAAAACUAUUAUUAAAAAAUAAAUAAAUUAUUUGUACAAAAUAAAUGUCAGAUUGCACUAAAACCCGGACCAAUAGAUUUACCCAUUACACCCGAGCCUAAAGCCCAACAUGUGUUUGAUAAUAUAAAACAAAGAAGACAAAACUUAUCAUACUUUGCGUGGUUUUCUACUUGAAAUGAUUCAUUGCCACCAAUUACAUGCAAUGACUUAAUGCUUAGAAGGACAGAGGUCAUUUCCCUGUGACAAAAUAAGAAACACAAGUCAAACCACCAAGAAUAUAACUUCUCAUAAGCAUGCAAAUAUAGGAAUAUUACAUAGGAAAAACAAAAUCACUGUGUCACCACUCCUGCUGCUUAAAUUAAGGAAUUGCAAUGUUGUAUGAUCCAAAAUUAGUUUGCAACAUCAAUCUUUUCAAAAUAUAAAGACUAUAGCUUCAAAAGGAUAUGUUUACCUGUUGACUUUAAUACAUGAAUUCCGACACAGUCACCAAGAUUUUCUUCUGUUUCUUUUCCCAUAUUUUUUGAACUUGUCAACCCAUUUGUUUCCCAACUCAUUCUGUUGUUCCAAUAGGGUCGGAAGCGUGUAAAUUAUUGUACUAAAAAAUCACACAAAGUUCAAUUCCCAGGGAAGAGAGGUGGAUCACAUGGAUCUCUUAAAUACCAAGUCUUUCCUUAGUCAGAAUAUCCCUUCUAUAGUAAUUUAAUAGCACAAUUAAAUACUACUAUUAUACCCUAAAAUAUUGAAAGAAAAAUAGGACAAGAAAGAACACAAGAGUUUUAACGAGGUUCGGUAAAUUAUACCUACGUCCUCGGGCACUAACACUAGAUGAUAACUUUACUAUCUCCAAAAUAUUACAAACAAAUAGAAUUCCUUAAGAAUUCUCAAAUGGGAGAAGAGAGAAAACUAAGAGAGAAAGAUUGGUUGGGAUGGUUGAAAUGAGAAAUGGUUAGGCCUAUUUGAGGUUCAGGGACUAACUUGCAAAUGGCCUAAAAAAUUAGGGACCAAAAUUGCAAUUAUCCCAUUCAACUUUAAACAACUUGCCUAUCACUUUUUUCUUUCGGUGCCACUUGCACCUCCCAUUUUUGACUUUUCAACAAUCUCCACCUUGAAGAUUUGAUUAGGAUAAUCACAUCUUCACACACUUCCUUCAACUCCCCAAAUUAGAUAAAGCUAUCUUUUGUAGCGCCUCCAAAUGCGCUCUCGAGCGCCAUACACCUAAAGGUGCUCAAAUUCUCAGGAUGUUAAUCAAGUUCAAACAAUGAUUAAACUUGAUUGUUGUUACCACCUUGGUCAUCAUAUCUGCGGGAUUAUCUGCUGUCGGAAUCUUCUGAAGUAGAAUUUUUCCUUUUUCAAAGACUUCCCGCACAAAGUGAUAUCAAACAAUUUUACACCAUAAAUAAUUUUGACCUGUCACCAGUAUACACACAGGUCAAAUUAAUACAAAUACAUAAGAGCUCAAAAAUAACACUAAAAACAAACAAUUGUUGGAUUUAUUAGUAGAGAAUUGGAUUUUUAAUUCUAAUGAUUAAAUAUCAAACUCAAACAACUUCAAAUAUAUAUACAUAAAGGAUGUUAUGAAACACUCAUAAAAAUCAUCAAAAAUAAAUGAGACGGAGAUAAUUUACUGAAGGAUAAGAUGAAAUGGGUUUUAGAAUUAACAUUUAUUUUUCUUUGGCAUGCAACCUAAUGUUCAAGUCUUUUUACCCAUUAAUGAGUACUGCUAAAUCCCAACUUAUAAAUAUGUUAUGAUCUACCAACGGAUUUAAUUAAAUCCAACACCCCAAAUUAUGGGCUCAACUCUAAAUUCAAGAUUUGGCGUUGCAUGCGAAAUGUUAAGUCUUUUCCCGAUCCUUACUAUAUGAAAACAAUGGUUUACCACUUUGUUUAAGUCAAGUCAUUAUAAACACAAAAAUAAAGCAUUUGUGUUAGCUGGUUGAGAUAGAUUGAUGGGAAUAUGGAGUGAAAAUUAUGAUGACCACACAAUUUCAUGUUUAAUGUCCAUCAGAUAUGGCUUUCAUGUUUGCUGGCUGUGAAGGAGGAUUGUUUCUAUACAACUUAUUUAUACACAAAUUAGUACUUUCCAUACAUUAUUUUUAAAUUUGGACUAAGCCCGAUCACUACUGCAUCAAAAUAAUGUUGUACCACUAAUUUUAUUUUAGUCAAUUAAUAAAAAAAAUGGAAUAGUGGUGAUUUUUUUUAACUGAUUGAGAUAGAUUGAUGGCUCAAAGAUUAAAUUUUCUCAUAACUUUGAUGACUUUUCAAUGAACUUAAAGUGUACGGAAUCAAUAGAAAAUUAUGGAAUGAGAUAUUAUUGGACUUAGUCUUAGCCUUUUGGCACUGCAUGCAAAUGUCUAAAUCUUUUCUACCCCAUCAAAACAAUGUUUAGCAAUUGUUUCUUAGGUAGUUGAGAUGGAUUGAUGGGCACAAGUUGUGGAAAUUUUGAUGAUAAUGUUUAUAGUUUCCUCUUCUUAGUAAUUUCUUUGAAAGAAACAUAUUUAAAUUUUCACAUUAAUAUUUUUUUAGAUUUAAUUGAAUUUAUCAAAGACAAAUUAAUGAGACUAACGAGAUGUCUUAUAUUAUUAACAAUUUUUUAAUUCUUUGAAAAACUAAUUUGAAUUUCAAAAGUUUUUUUUUUCAAUUUCAAAAUGCUACAAAUCAAACAAAUCAGGAAUAAAAAUUUAAUUUCCAUCCUCCUCCUAUUAGGAAGGGAUAGAGAUAACGUGAAUAAAGAGAAUGGAUUGUAUGAAACUAUAAUUUCAUGUCAUCCUAACAAAUCACAUUUUUUUCUCCUAAUUUUCAACUUUUUCCUCUUGGAAAAAUUCAAAUCCAAUUAAAAAUGCUACAAAUCAGACAAAUUAGGAAUAAAAAUCUAAUUUGUCAUUCUCCACUUAUUAAAAAGAGACAAAAAUAACGUGAAAUUACAGUUUUAUAUCAUUCUUUCCCUUAAAUAAAUUCUUUUAAAUGUUUUACAAUGAUAAAAUUGUCCCUUGAAUAAACUCUUAUAAAUGUUUUACAAUAAGAGAAUUGAUUAUUUUUAUUAAUAUCACAUAUUUAUUUCUAAUGUUUUAGAUUGUUUGCCAAUACUAAAAACCACACCACACUAUAAAGAAUCAUUAUUUUCAUAUAUUUUAAUUUUUAUCAUAAUUUACUUUUGUCUACAUCCAAAGGGUUAAUUCCUUAAAUUAUGGACUAAAUUUUAAAUUGAUCUCUAUAUUUUAAAAAAUAAUUAAUUAAGUCCUCAAACAAUAAAUCACAUUCUAAUUUGAAAUUUUUAAUUUUGGACUAACAAAGAAAAUAUUAGUGUGAGAUAUUGUUGGCCUUUGGCUAACAUUGGAAAGCAUACUAGAUUUUAAGACAUAAUUUAUUUCAUUAAAUUUUAAUUAUUAUUUUUAUUUUUAUCAUAUAAUUAUCUAAUUCAAUCAUAUUUUUGAAAUUAAUAAAACUAUCACUGAAACAAUAAAUAAACUAGUAUAAAAAUAAGUGUCUAGCUGAACUAAAACCCGGACCAACAUGUCUAUCCUUUACACCCGAUCCUAAACCCCAACACGUGAUUGAUAAAAUAUAAAGCUAAUGUCUCUUUGGAAGAGCAAAGGGUGGGAGUAGCAGCAUCUGCGUCUCUUUACACAAUCGGUCCAAUGUCCAUCAAAAAAAGCUUUCAUCAGCAUCAAGCCAUCAAAUCUCCUCAGCUGUUAGGCUCAUUAUUAGGAUCACUGCCUAGAUUAUUCAUGUACCUCAAUGGUAACAUAAAAUUACAAGUACGGUAUGAUAGUGAACUUGGUAAAUAUAUAUAUAUAUAUAAAUCAACAACUAUCUGUUCAAAUUAGAAUGACAAAUGCUUACCAGCUACUUUUGAAGCAAGAAUUCUGAUGGAGUCACCUACAUCUUCUUCUAUUUCUUUUUCCACACUUUUUGAACUUGUCAACCCAUUUGUUUCCCAACUCAUUUAGCACUGUAUAUCCAAUACAUAGCCCAACGACUAAUCCACUAGCAUAACCUAUCAACGCAAUUUUCCAAGUAGACAGAGCAUAAAACCAUGAAUCUCCAUCUUCCCCUGGAGGUGGUGGCAUUGGAAGACCAACUUCAUUGCAUUUCUUGGACAAUGGUGGACCGCAUAAUUUUGGAUUCCCACGGUGAGAAUCAUUUGAAAAUGUACUGAAUUGGUUGCCUUGCGGUAUGCUCCCUUCAAGUGGGUUGUAAGACAAAUUCAAUGCCUCUAGGAAAGUUAGAGUUGUAAGCUGUGGAGGAAUCUUCCCUGAAAGUUUGUUUUGUGAGAGAUCCAAAGAUUCGAGGUCUUUUAGAUUGAAGUGCUAAUGGGAUUUCACCAGAGAAGCCAUUGUUGGAUAAGUUCAUCACUCUGAGUGACCUCAGCAUUUGUAUCUCUUCUGGUAUUCUCCCAUGGAAACUAUUGUUGGAAAGGUCAAGACAAGUAAGAACAGUUAAGAUUUUUGGUAAAAUAGUUCAACCCCCCUGUUAACAAUUGUCACAGAGUCUUUAUAAUAGACGUCCCCAAUGUAAACCCGCUUAGCCUUUUCAUCAUUAGUCAUCUUCGCCAUUGCCUUCAAACUCUGCAAAAAUUCAAUGGACAAGUCACCUGAAAAAUUGUUGGAAGCAAUGUCCAAUAUGCGUAGCUUUGGAAACCCACAUUCCGUGUCGAUUUUUGAAAUUGUGCCGUAGAAUCUGUUUGCUCGCAAAACGAGAACCUUCAAGGAAGGUAGCUUCUCUAACCAAAAUGGGAAUGUAUCAUGAACCAUAUUAUUUCCCAGGUCCAGAACCUCAAGUGCUGUGCAAUUGGCUAAUGAUCUCGACAGCUCCCCGUCCAAUUUAUUCCCAGCUAUUUUGAGUAACCCUAGUCGAGUGGGUUGAAGGAAAUCAAUGGAUAGUUCACCAGAAAACUGGUUUGAAGCAAUGUCCAAUACAUCCAAAGUUGGGAAAACAGAUUUAUGUUUGAAAUGUUUAAUUUGACCAUAAAAUCUAUUUUCCCGCAAUAUUAGAACCGUCAAGUAAGGCAAUUUCUCCAACCAAAAAGGGAAUGUAUCAUUCAUCUUGUUGUUUCCCACGUCCAAAACUUCAAGCUGAGUGCAUUCAGCUAAUGAUCUGGGCAACUUCCCUUCCAGUCUAUUCUCACUAAUUUUGAGAAUUUGUAGUUUGGUUGCUUUUGAAAAUUUUGGUAACAUUCCACUGAAGUUAUUUCCUUGCAGAUUCAAGAAAUAGCAUUCAUUUUGCCUAAGCAAUUUGGAAUUGGGCCACUCAAAUUGUUACAAGAUAGACCGAAACUGCCAAAUUGACUCAUAUUGCCCAAGCAAUUUGGAAUUGACCCACUCAAAUUGUUAGAAGAUGCAUAAAAACUGCCAAGUUGACUCAUAUUGCAUAACCAAUUUGGAAUUGGGCCACUCAAAUUGUUAUAAGAUGCGUCGAAAUAGAAAAAGCCUCGUGAAAAAGUUGAAAGGUCCAAAGAUGAGAGAUGGUUAUUAGCAAGAGACAGAUACCGCAAACUUUUUUUCCACACCCUGUUUGGUAUUGCACCACUUAUUUUAUUAUUUGAAAGGUCCAGAAAUUAUUUUUGACUCUUUAAGAACUCCGGAAACGCACUUAUGUUACAGGAUCCCAGAUACAAUCGCCUCAACAUUGGGAAAGAGAAGUUUGCAUCACUUAAGGGAAGUUGUUUUGGAAAAUCAAUCAUAUUGAAAGAAAGGUACACCUGUGAAAGAGUGCUCUUCCACAACCAAUUAGGCACAAUACCAUGGAUAUGGUUGUUAGAAAGUUCCAGAGAAAUCAACUUGUCUUUUGUUUUGAUGAAUUCUGGGAAUUCAGUAAGGUUGCAUGAACUUAGCCUUAGGCUUUCUAAUAGGGGAAAAGUAAGACUUAUGUUGUCACUUUCAAUUAAGAAGCUUAUAUUGUUUAGCGAGAGAGUCCUUAAGUUCUUGAGUUGGACACACAUGUCAAGCUUCAUGGAACUGAAGCUAUUACCUUCGAUAUAAAGCCAUUCAAGCCGUGGAAGUUGAAGGAUUGACUUUGGGAUUGGUCCUGUUAAAUAAUUAUUGCCUAUAUAUAGUACUUCAAUCAAAGAAGAAGAUGCAUUGGGGAACUCAUUAAUUUUCCCAACCAAUUGAUUGUCUCCAUGAUGCAGGAUCUUCAACGAUGGAAGAGUGAAUAAAGAAGAAUGUAUUGAUCCAAAAAGCUUGAUCCCAUCCAAAUUGUGAUUUACAAGAUUAGGAACUCCAAAUCUAUGAAACAAAGGGGUUAAACCACUGAAAUUAUUAUAUCUUAGAUUCAAGUUCACGAGGUGACUAAGAUUUGCAAUUGACGAUGGAAUGGGUCCAAAAAAGUUGCAAGAAGAAAGAUGUAAAUUUGUCAGGAACUUAACAUUACCAACCAAUUCAAGUAGUUUUCCACUGAAAUUUGUAAAAGAAAGCGACAAACUCUGUAAAGCAUUGUUUGCUGGAAAUUCUGGCAACUGACCCAUAAGUUGGCCAUUGCCUGAAAUGUCAAUGCUUUGAAUUUUUGGCAAUAAGAGAAUUCCGGUUGGAAAAUGCCCACGCAAAUUACAGUACCUCAAACUGAGAGAAACCAAACGAGAGGAAGUUUCCAAGAAAUUGGGAGGUAAAUAAGAGAUUGGGUUCCCACCAAGGAUAAGUUUGGAAAGAAAAGAGAGUCUUGAGAGAGAAGAACAUAAUGGACCUUUCAAACCACAGCUUGACAGACUCAACACAUGCAGGUUUGGAAGUACAAGAGAUGUGGUUUCACACCAUUUAGCACUUUGAGUUGAAAUGUCCACACUAUCCAAAUAAAGCGCUGUGAGAAACCUCAAAUUCUUGAUUAAUGUCUUGAAGUUUGGAUUCUCUAAUUUAAGAGGCUGUUGAGGUUUGUAAUAGUUGUAGAAGGCAGGGUACAGAACUUUGUAAUAUCUCAAAUAACAAGAAUCUUGAUUGGAUAGAUCAAGAGAGACUAACCUAUUUAAGAAUGAGAUCUCCACUGGAAUUUGGCCAUGGAAACAUGAGCUUGAAAGGUUGAGAUGAGUUAGAUUUUGGAGUUUAUCAAACCCAUAGGAAAACAGAGUGGUAUUAAAGUUGUUUCCAGCAAGAUUCAGGUGUUGAAGAUGAUGGAGAUCGAAUAUGGAGUGGAAGCUGCCUGAAAGGUUUUUGUAACUAAGAUCAAUGCCAACGACAUGACCAUAAGCAUCACAAGUGACUCCUUCCCAAGAACAACAAUCAGUGUUGACAUCCCAGAGGUCAAAAUUGGAAGAGAAAGUAAAAUUAGGGGCACAGUAAAGAUGACGCUGCAAUUGCAGCAGAGGAGCUCUCUGGUCAUCAAGGCAUUGCUGAGGGAGAUGAGUUUGAGGAGGUGAAAAAGACAAGACAAGAGAAAGGAAGCAUGAGAAGAGGAAGGGUGAAAUAAGGAAAUGAAGAGUGUUCAUGUUGGUUGGGUGUGAAGAAGGAUUGUGCUUGGCAUACAACUUAUUUAUACACAAAUGUGUAGUUUUCAUGUUUGGCAUAUAACUUAUUUAUUAUUAGUAUUAUUAUUAUUAUCCCAUGCUUGCAAAGGUUGACCAAAAAGACUUAACUAAAGUGGUGGAACAUUAUUUUGAUGCAGUAUUGAUUGGGCAAAAAGACUUCGAAAUUGCAUGCUAUGCCAAACAUGAAAACUACACAUUUGUGUAUAAAUAUUAGACAUAUUAGAGGGAUUGAAACUGAAAUUUAACAUUUUAUUGUAAAUUUUUUUUUUAAAAAAAAGAUAAAGGAAAGGAAAGGAAAUAAAUUAUAGAUUAAAUCUCAAAUUUAGGCAUAUUAAAGAAACUAAAUUUUAAAUUUUUUUGUAAAAUGUAAAAUUAAAAAAGAAAAGGAAAAAUGAUUGGGUAUGCGACAUGUAAAAAGAAAGAAGGUCGAAACCAAUUUUUAUAUAUAAGUAUAUAGAUUAUAUAUAAUUAUUCUUACAUAAUUUAAUUUUUUUAAUAAAAAUUACUAUUAAAAUCUUUUAAUUAAAUUUUGGUAUAACACCCAAAAGAAUUAAUUUAUAUACCAAACUAAUUUAUAAAUGAGUACUUUUAAGUCCUAAUUUAUGAAACAGUACCAAACUUAUAAAUAUGCUAUGACCUAUUGAAGGGUUUAAUUAAAUUUAACACCCCAAAUUAUAAGUUGCAUCAUUCUAAAUUUAUCUCUAAACUUCAAAAACUUUUAACUAAAUAAUAGUAAAAUAUAUUGUUGGUCUUAGUCUUAGUUUUAAUAUUUGGGAUUGCAAGCGAAUUUCUAAGUCUUAGUAUAAGAAUAGAAUGUUAUUAACCUUAGUCAUGAAAAUAAUGUUUCUACCACUUUUCUUAACUGAUUGAGAGACAUUGAUGGGUCAAAGACUAAAUUUUGUUGGUGACUUCUCAAUGAACUUGUCCAAGUGUAUCAAAUCAAUAGAAACACAAUGAAACUAAAUAAUGGUUUGGUUUGAGGAAAAUAUAAGCUAUUCUUAGUCUUUGCUUUCAUUUGCACAAUGUUUGGCACUUUUCUUAUCAUAUUUGAACUUCACUCCAUAUGUUUGCUUUCAAUUUAAAACCAUAUUUAUUAUGUGGAUUAAAUCAUAGUAUUGUUAUUCAAAUUUAAAAUAAAGAAAUUAUUUCUCAAGGUAUCUAGUUGGUAAGUAAAUAUUUGCAUUUUGUUAGCCCAUUUACAGAGUAGAUGCCAUAGUUUUAAAAGUUGCUUCACAAUUAAGCCGAGGAUCGAAUCCUCGACCACGGAUUAAGGUAAGAAAGACUCUUACCAUCUCAUCUAACUCUAGUUAUUAAAAUUAAAAUUAAUUUGAAUACCAUAAAUUCAAAUAUUAAUAUUUACAUCUAUUCCAAAUUCAUUAUACAUAAUAAUUAAAAUAUUCAAAUCUAAAUAUUAUCAAAAUUCGUACUCUGGUGAUUAAAAUAUUUGUAUCCUAUUAGUCAUAUUAAUUAUGAUAUUUUCGUCAUUUUGCUUCAUCUUUAUUCUAUUAUGAUAUUUUCAUACUAUUAAUCAUAUUUGAUGUUCGCGAUUUAUUGAUAUAAAAUUUUUAGACAUUAAAUGAUGUUAUUAUUCUAAAUAUAUGCAAGCUCGACUUUGAAGUCCAACCUAUUUUAAACAUCUUUCCUUGUUGAUUGUGGAGAAUGGACCGUGAUUGCAUUGAAAAUACCAUUGAAGAAUAAUAAUUAAAAUAAUCAUAUUUUAUACUAUAAAAUAUUUAUUAUUGAAUAUUUAUAAAUUAUAUAUAUUUUUCUCAUUAAAAUAUCAAUAUAAAUAUUUUUUAAUUAUAUAUUAAGAAUAUUAUUUAAAAUUAAAUUAAAUUAUUAAAAUUUAUUAAUAAAAUAAAAUUAUAAUAUUAAAAUUAAAAAUAUAUUAUUAAUAUAAUUAUAUUAAACUUGAUUCAAAUUAAUUUUGUAUAUAAAGAUAAAAAUAUUCAUAAAUAAGCUUUGUUCGAUAAAUUAAUUACGUUUUCCAAAAAGUCAAAUUAAUUUACAGAAAAAUGAUAUUAUUUAAAUUUCCAUACUAAAAUACUUUUAAAUUUAAUUAAAAUUAUCAAAGACGAAUGAAAUUCAUGAAAUUAAUUUAACAACUUUUCAAUUUUUCGAAAAAAUCAAUUUGAUUCUUCUUCUUUUUUCAAAAUUUAUCAAGCCAAUUGAAACACAAAAAAAUUUAAUAUUUUUAAUUUUUGACUGACAAAAAAAAUGAUACUAUGAGAUAUUUUUUAUAUUAUUAGACCUAAUCUUAAUCUUUGGCAUUCCAUGCAAAUGUCUAAAUCUUUUUGCCCCUUUACUACGGCAUUAAAACAAUGUUUAGCAAAUUUCUUAGGGAGAUGGAUUGAUGGAUAUAAGUAGUGGAAAUUUUGAUGAUACAAUUCUUCUCUUCUUAACAAUUUCUUUCAAAGAAACAUAUUUAAAUUUCCACACCGAAACUUCUUUAAUUUAAAGGAAUAAAUCUUAAAAUUAUAAACUAUGUGUUAAUGUGUAAUUGUAUACAUGAAUUUUGAUUUUAUGCAAUGUUAUACAUGAAAUUUUGAUUUGAUUCAAUUCUUGUAAUUUAUUAACACAAUUAUUGAUAUAACAACAUUUUAUGUCUAUAUAUUGUAUACAUAAAUAAUUAUAUUUAUCUAAUAUAAAAAUAAAUUGAUGUUUUUAUUUCAUUAAAUGUGUAUGAUUAAAUCAAAAUUAAAAUUUGAAUUAUACAUUUGAACCACAAUUAGAGUUCCACGUGUAUGAUUACACCAAACUAAAGUUCAUAUAUAUAAUUGCACAUUAAAUUAAAGUUUAUAUAUAAUUUUAAGUUUUAUCCCUAUUUGAAAUUAUCAAAGACAAAUGAGAUUAACGAGAUGUAUUAUAUUAUAAACAAAGUUCGAUUCUUUGAAAAAGUUAAGCUCCAAUUUCAGAAGUUUUUUUUUCCAAAGUUUAUCAAACGAAUUCAAACACUAUGAGAUUAAACAACAUAUAAUUUUUUAAAUCUAAAAUAUGGAUUUUUUUUCUUUUUUAAAUCUAAAGUCAGUUCCAAUUUUCUAGUGUUUUAGAUUGUUUACUAACACUAAAAAGCACACCACAUUGUAAGGCAUCAUUUCUUUCAUUGUAUUUUUUUUUUUUACGUAGACACCAAAAUUUCAUCGGGAUACAAAUCAGCACUUUGUGGUAAACUCAAUUUAACUCAAUUUUAAUUGUAGCAAAGCUUUUAACCGGGGGCUCUUUUUCCACCAUUUUUCUUCUAACACUUUCGGCUCCCAGCACUCUGGAGGCAUCCUCCAUCACUGAACAUUCUUCACUCACCUUCAUCAUUGCCACCACCAACCACAUCAGCAUCAGAAUCAACAUAAUCAUCUUCAUCUCAGUCACCUCUCUCACCUCUAACCCAUACCAACAUUUUUAGGGUACAAAAUUGUGCUCCAAGACACAAGCAUAGUGACACCUGAGAAUCAUCCAAUUCAUCUUCAUGUAUACGAUUUCUAUAUCAUUGCACAACGUUUAAAGAACUUCGAUCCUAAAAGGGAUACUUCUAAAUUCAACCUUGUUGAUCCACCUGUGAGGAACACCGUUGGAGUGCCUGUGAAUGGAUGGGCAACCAUCAGAUUCGUCGCUGAUAAUCCAGGUAAACACCCUUCUUCAUCAUUUCAAUUACUGUGAUUCCAUUACCAAUUUUUUACUUGUUAUUAGUAUUUUUCUUAAUCAUUUUCAUAGUAUUGUGGCAUACCAAUUCUUCCCUGCAUCUGGGAAACUAGUUUAAUGCUCUGUUUCAUUGGAUAAAUUUCCCUAAAAAGUAUGUGUACAUUGUAAUAAUAGUGUGAGAUAGUGUCGGCCUUUGGCUAACAUUGGAAAACAUACUAGAUUGUAACACAAAAAUUCUUUCAUUAUAUUUUAAUUAUUAUUAUCAUAUUAUUACAUACAAAGUUUAAUUGAAUGGUAAUUUUUAACGUAAUAAUAUUAUCAUUGAAAGGAUAAAUAGACUAAUAUAAAAACAAGUGUCAAGCUGCACUAAAACCCGGACCAACGGGUCCACCCUUUACACCCAGACCUAAAGCAUAAGACGUGAUUGAAAAAUGCUUGUAGUCAUAAGAAACUAAUUACCAUUUUCUUCAAAGAUAACGUACCUCCUGACUGGAUAUUCCAUGUCCUGUGCAUUGCUAAAUGAUACAUAAAAUUACAAUAGAAUCUGGAAAAUGAAUGUCAAUGCUACGAGUAGGAUAUGAUAGAGAAAUUUACUUUUCAACAACUAUAUAUAUCAACUACCUUUUCAAAUUAGAAAGACUAAUGCUUAAUUAGACUAAUGCUUAAUUACCAGCUAAUUUUGAAACAAGAAUUCUGAUGGAGUCACCUACACCUUACCUUAAACAUGAUAAUGCUGGCAAUUAUGGUGAACGUUGUGAACAUGACAUAGUAAACAGGACAUACAACAGUAGUAUGAAAAGUGUCUAAAGCAUGCAAAAUUGUAAGCUUUUAGUAGCAUCAAGAAUAAUAACAACUUAAAUUUAGAGUCAAUCAUCAUAUUAAAUCAAGAAUAUAAGUUGAAAGAAAUUAUUUUUUUAAAAAACACAUUUAUGCUUUUUUAUCCUAUAAGCAAUUUAAUAAUGAACAAAUUGAUCUCUCAACAAAAAUUACAAAAUAUUUCAAAAUAGUUUUUAAAAUUCAAAAUAUUUAUAAAAAAAUUAAAUUAUAUUUAUUUUUUCAAUUGUAAGAAUAUUUUUAUUAUUUUGUUUUGAAAAAGUUUUCAAAUGUAUAUAGUUUUAAAUUUAUGUGCUCUAACAUUGAAUUAGUUAUCCUAUAACAAGAUUUUAAUUUGACAUAUUUAAUUUUUUAAUUGAACUUGAAUAAUUUCACUCGAUUCAAUUUGACUCGAAUUUUAUUUCACUCGACUCAAUUCGAAAAAAUGUCAAAUCAAGUUAGGAUGAUAAAUAGGACUCAUUAGUUCAAUUAACUCAAAAAAUUUUCACUUGAUUCGAUUAAACACUCAUAAAAAUCAUCAAAAAUAAAUGAGACGGAGAUAAUUUGCUGAAGGAUAAGAUGAAAUGUGUUUUAGAAAUUAACAUUUUUUUUCUUUGGCAUGCAAGCUAAUGUUCAAGUCUUUUUACCCAAUAAUGAGUACUCCUAAAUCCAACUUAUAAAUAUGUUAUGAUCUACCAACGGGCUUAAUUAAAUCCAACACCCCAAAUUAUGGGCUCAACUCUAAAUUCAAGAUUUGGCAUUGCAUGCAAAUGUCUAAGUCUUUGCCCGAUCCUUACUAGAUGAAAACAAUGGUUUACCACUUUGUUUAAGUCAAGUCAUUAUAAACACAAAAAUAAAGCAUUUGUGUUAGCUGGUUGAGAUGGAUUGAUGAGUGAAAAUUAUGAUGACCACACAAUUUCUGCGAAACUUCGAUUGGUACAAAAUAAGUGCGAGGCUGUACCAAAACCCAACAUGUGUUUGAUAAAAUAAAAACCCAAUGUGUCAGCAAAAGGUGGGAGUAGCAGCAGCAGCUGUCUCUUUACACAAUCAGUACAAUGUCCAUCAGAUAUGGCUUUCAUGUUUGCUGGCUGUGAAGGAGGAUUGUUUCCAUACAACUUAUUUAUACACAAAUUAGUUCUUUCCAUACAUUAUUUUGAAUUUUGGACUAAGCCCGAUCACUACUGCAUCAAUGUUGUACCACUAACUUUAUUUUGGUCAAUUAAUAAAAAAAAAUGGAAUUGUGGUGAUUUUUUUUAGCUGAUUGAGAUAAAAUGAUGGCUCAAAGACUAAAUUUUCUCAUAACUUUGAUGACUUUUCAAUGAACUUAAAGUGUAUGGAAUCAAUAGAAAUUUAUGGAAUGAGAUAUUAUUGGACUUAGUCUUAGCCUUUUGGCACUGUAUGCAAAUGUCUAAAUCUUUUUUACCCCAUCAAAACAAUGUUUAGCAAGUUUCUUAUGUAGUUGAGAUGGAUUGAUGGGCACAAGUAGCGGAAAUUUUGAUGAUAAAAUGUUUACAAUUUUCCUCUUCUUAGCAAUUUCUUUGAAAGAAACAUAUUUAAAUUUUCACAAUAAAAUUUCUUUAGAUUUAAUUGAAAUUAUCAAAGAAAAAUGAGAUUGACAAGAUAUCUUAUAUUAUUAACAAUUUUUCGAUUCUUUCAAAAAAUUAAUUUCAAUUUCAAAAGUUUUUUGAAAUUAAUAGAACUAUCAUUGAAAGGAUAAACAAACUAGUAUAAAAAUAAGUGUCCGGCUGAACUAAAACUCAGACCAACAGGUCCACCCUUUACACCCGGUCCUAAAGCCCAACACGUGAUUGAUAAAAUAUAAAGCUAAUAUCUGUUUGGAAGAGCAAAGGAUGAGAGUAGCAGCAUCUGCGUCUCUUUACACAAUCCGUCCAAUGUCCAUCAGAUAUGGCUUCCAUCAACAUCAUGCCAUUAAAUCUCCUCAGCUGUACAAAUAUUCUGAAGAUAAAAUAAUUGAAGUAAAAGUAAAUUGCAUAUAAAAGAAAGCUUGGGCAGCCAUUUCCUUGUUUAUAAUAUCAUUAUUAGCAUGGAAAUUCAGUAGCAGUGAAACAUUGCAUCCCCCAAAUCCACAGGGACCUGGAUGCAAAAUGAAUAAACACUAAUAUAUACUCAUGGAAAACUACAAAAGGAAAAAAGUGCAUAUAAAGCAAAAUUACAAACCAGUGGAUUGAUCUUGUUAGGAUCAUUGCCUACAUUCUUCAUGAACCUCACAACUGUACAUUCCAUGUCCUGCUUCAAGUACCUCCUGCAUUGCUCAAUGGUAACAUCAAAUUACAAGUACGAUAUAAUAGUGAACUUGGUAAAGACAGCAAAAAAUGAGGUUAUAUAUAUAUAUAUAUAUAUCAACUAUCUGUUCAAAUUAGAAAGACAAAUGCUUACCAGCUAAUUUUGAAGAAAGAAUUCUGAUGGAGUCACCUAUAUCUUCUGCUAUUUCUUUUCCCACACUUUUUGAACUUGUCCACCCAUUUGUUUCCCAACUCAUUCAGCACUGUAUAUCCAAUACAUAGCCCAACGACUAAUCCACUAGCAUAACCUAUCAACGCAAUUUUCCAAGUAGACAGAGCAUAUAACCAUGAAUCUUCAUCUUCCCCUGGAGGUGGUGGCAUUGGAAGACCAACUUCAUUGCAUUUUCUUGACAAUGGCAGCCCACACAAUUUUGGGUUCCCACGGUAGGAAUCAUUUGUAAAUGUAAUGAAUUGGUUGCUUUGUGGUAUGCUCCCUUCAAGUUGGUUGUAUGACAAGUUCAAUGCUUCCAGGAAAGUUAGACUUGUAAGUUGUGGAGGAAUCUUCCCUGACAGCUUGUUUCUUGAGAGAUCCAAAGAUUCGAGGUCUUUUAGAUUUUGAAGUGCUAAUGGGAUUUCACUAGAGAAGCUAUUGUUGGAUAAGUUCAUCACUCUGAGUGACCUCAGCAUUUGUAUUUCUUCUGGUAUUCUCCCAUGGAAACUAUUGUUGGAAAGGUCAAGACAAGUAAGAAUUGCCAAGACUUUUUGGUAGAACAUUUCAAUCCCUUUGUUAACAAUUGUCACAGAGUCUUGAUAAUAAUUCUCUCCGAUAUAAUUCAGCUUAGCCUUUUCGUCAUUAGUCAUCUUCGCCAUUGCCUUCAAACUCUGCAAAAAUUCAAUGGACAAGUCACCUGAAAAAUUGUUGGAAGCAAUGUCCAAUAUACGUAGCUUUGGAAACCCACAUUCCGUGUCGAUUUUUGAAAUUGUACCGUAGAAUCUGUUUGCUCGCAAAACGAGAACCUUCAAGGAAGGUAGCUUCUCUAGCCAAAAUGGGAAUGUAUCAUGAACCAUAUUAUUUCCGAGGUCCAGAACCUCAAGUGCUGUGCAAUUGGCUAAUGAUCUCGACAGCUUCCCUUCCAAUUUAUUCCCACCUAUUUUGAGUGACCUUACUCUAGUGGGUUGAAGGAAAUCAAUGGAUAGUUCACCAGAAAACUGGUUUGAAGCAAUGUCCAAUACAUCCAAAGUUGGGAAAACAGAUUUAUGUUUGAAAUGUUUAAUUUGACCAUAAAACCUGUUUUCCCGCAAAAUGAGAACCUUUAGCGCAGGCAAUUUCUCCAACCAAAAAGGGAAUGUAUCAUUGAUCAUGUUGCUUCCUACAUCCAAAACCAUAAGUUGAGUGCAUUUUGCUAAUGAUCUGGGCAACUUCCCUUCCAAUCUAUUCUCACUAACUUUCAGAAAUUGCAGUUGGGUUGCUUUUGAAAAUUUUGGUAUCAUUCCACUGAAGUUAUUUCCUUGCAAACCCAACCAACUCAGAGCACUCAUAUUGCCCAAGCAAUUUGGAAUUGGGCCACUCAAAUUGUUAUAAGAUACAUCGAAACUGUAAAGUUGACUCAUAUUGCAUAACCAAUUUGGAAUUGGGCCACUCGAAUUGUUAUAAGAUGCAUCUAAACCGCUAAGCUGACUCAUAUUGCAUAACCAAUUUGGAAUUGGGCCACUCAAAUUGUUAUAAGAUGCAUCUAAACCGCUAAGCUGACUCAUAUUGCAUAACCAAUUUGGAAUUGGGCCACUCAAAUUGUUAGAAGAUGCGUCGAAUUCUUCUAAAUUUUCUUGACUCUUUAAGAACUCCGGAAAUGCACUUAUGUUACAAGAUUCCAGACGCAAUCGCCUCAACAUUGGGAAAGAGAAGUUUGCAUCACUUAAAGGAAGUUGUUUUGGAAAAUCAAUCACAUUGAAAGAAAGGUCUAAGGAUAAAAGACUGCUCUUCCACAACCAAUUAGGCACAACACCAUGGAUAUGGUUGCUAGAAAGAUCUAAGUCAACCAACUUGUCUUGUGUUUUGAUGAACUCUGGAAACGCACUUAUGUUACAGGAUGUCAAACGCAAGUCUUUCAACAUUGGAAAUGAAAAGUUUGCAUCAUUUAAGGGAAGCUGUUUUGGAAAAUCAAUCAUAUUGAAAGAAAGGUCUACCCAUGAAAGACUGCUCUUCCACAACCAAUUGGGCACAAAACCAUGGAUAUGGUUGUUAGAAAGAUCUAAGCCAACCAACUUGUCUUGCCUUUUAAUGAAUUCUGGAAAUUCAGUAAGGUUGCAUGACCAUAGCCUUAGUGUCUCUAAUUGGGGUAAAGUAAGACUUCUGUUGUCGCUUUCAAUUAACAAGCUUAUAUUGUUUAGCCAGAGAGUCCUUAAGUUGUUGAGUUGGACAAACAUGUCAAGCUUCAUGGAACUGAAGCUAUUGCUUUCAAUAUAAAGCCAUUCAAGCCUUGGAAGUUGAAGGAUUGACUUUGGGAUUGGUCCUGUUAAAUAAUUAUUGCCUAUAUAUAAUUCUUGAAUCAAAGAAGAAGAUGCAUUGGGGAACUCAUCAAUUUUCCCAACCAAGUGAUUUUCUCCAAGAUACAGGGUCUUUAAUGAUGGAAGAGUGAAUAAAGAAGAAUGUAUUGAUCCAGAAAGCAUGUUCCCUCCCAGAUAUAGGUUGACCAGGUGACUAAGAUUUGUAAUUGACGAUGGAAUAGGUCCAAAAAAAUUGCAAUAAGAAAGCUCUAAAUUUGUCAGGAACUUAAGAUUACCAAUCGAUUCAGGUAGUUUUCCACUGAAAUUUGUAUGAUAAAGUGACAGACUCAGUAAUGCAUUGUUUGCUGGAAAUUCUGGCAACUGACCCAUAAGUUGGUCAUUGCGUGAAAUGUCAAUGCUUUGAAUUUUUGGCAAUAAGAGAAUUCCGGUUGGAAAAUGCCCACGCAAAUUACAGUACCUCAAACUGAGAGAAACCAAACGAGAGGAAAUUUCCAAGAAAUUGGGAGGUAAAUAAGAGAUUGGGUUCCCAUCAAGGAUAAGUUUGGAAAGAAAAGAGAGUCUUGAGAGUGAAGAACAUAAUGGACCUUUCAAACCACAGCUUGACAGACUCAACACAUGCAGGUUUGGAAGUACAAGAGAUGUGGUUUCACACCAUUUAGUACUUUGAGUUGAAAUGUCGACACCAUCCAAAUAAAGCUCCGUGAGAAACUUCAAAUUCUUGAUAAAUGUCUUGAAGUUUGGUUUCUCCAAUUUUAAAGUAGCUGAAUUAUAAUCGUAACCAUUUCUCCAAUAGCAAUCAUCUUGAUAAGAUAGGUUCAGAGAGACUAACCUUGUUAAGAAUGAGAUCUUCAUUGGAAUUUGGCCAUGGAAACAUGAGCUUGAAAGGUUGAGAUGAGUUAGAUUUUGGAGUUUAUCAAACCCAUAGGAAAACAGAGUGGUAUUAAAGUUGUUUCCAGCAAGAUUAAGGUGUUGAAGAUGAUGGAGAUCUAAUAUGGAGUUGAAGCCGCCUGAAAGGUUUUUGUAACUAAGAUCAAUGCCAACAACAUGACCAUAAGCAUCACAAGUGACUCCUUCCCAAGAACAACAAUCAGUGUUGACAUCCCAGAGGUCGAAUUUGGAAGAGAAAGUAAAAUUAGGGGCAUAGUAAAGAUGAUGCUGCAGUUGCAGGAGAGGAGCUCUCUGGUCAUCAAGGCAUUGCUUAGGGAGAUGAGUUUGAGGAGGUGAAAAAGACAAGACAAGAGAAAGGAAGCAUG